ACUCAGAUGAACCCAGAACAGGAGUCACAUUAGAAGCUCUGAGACCUUUCUGCAAAAUUCUGGAAACCGCCCCAGCCUACGGAGUGUGGAAGCCACACUAAAUGUCAAGUGUGAGGGUGGACACCUACACACUGGGACACACAGGCUUCAGAACAACUGCCUCCCCAGGAAGCUCCUGGACCCUGUGCCCGCCACAGUGGGAGUGCGCGACCGUGACAGAGCCGGAGAGGGACAGCGAGCCUGGGGUUCCAACAGGAAGGAGCAGGUGACCACCACGCCUGGGGCUUUACCUUCAUGAUCCCACUAAAUUCUCACCACACCCACUCUGCUUCACAAGAAGGAAACUGAGGCUCAGAGAGCCCAAGAACUCAUCCAAAGUCACAGAGCUGCUGCAGAAGGAUCUGGACCCGGUCUUCUGCUUCCCAGACCCACCUUGCUCUGCAGUAAAGCGUGGAUGGGAAUGGAAAAGAGACCUUCAGGGAAUGAAGACAUGAUUGUUGGAUGGAUAAAUCAAUGCGAAUGAGCAGUGGGUGUCCAGGAGUCAGUGGCUGACCUGCAGCAUUGGGCAGAGGGCCUGUUGGCAUUUCCCAACCCCAUGGCCGCCACCAUGGUGCAGAUGUGACACUGAACCUGGGACGGCUGUGAGAGAAGGGUCGUGUUAUGGUUUGUGUCUGAAUAUCCCCCAAAGCCUCACGCAGUCAUGGACCUUGGAGUCACCCCACCUCGGAGCACGCUGAUUAUGGACUGGAACCUCCACAAACUAGCAUAUACAACCAUCUAAAUUUACACAGCAGACCCAGGAAGACAAAGUCUCUGAUCCAAGGUUCUCAAGGGAGCAGAGUGCGAACCCAGAGAAUCUGACUCCGAAUCUGAUCUACAUGCAGAGGCUUCUAUGGUGAGAAUGCACACUUAACGGGUGCCCGCUGUGUGCCACAAAUAAGCCUCAUGUGGCCGGAGGUGGACAGCAUCAUUUCCACCUGACAGGUGAGGAAACCGAGGUUCAGGGAGCUGCAAUAACUGUCUAGCAGUUUCAGGCAGUGUAAGUGGGCAGAAUGAGGUGGAACUGACACCGAAUGUUCCAGCAUUCAGGCUUCCUCCCCACUGUGCUGGACUGAACCCAGGGCUGCCACAUGCACGCUAGGCGGGCACUCCUCCACUGAGCCACACUCAUCAUUUUUGAGAUAAGUUCUCGCCGAAGUUCCCAGCUGGCCUUGAAUUUGCAAUUCUCCUGCCUCAGCCUCCCAAGGACCAGUGAUUACAGGUAUGUGCCACUGCACCUGGCCUGGGUUCAAGCUUUCAACCACUCCACUUCACUGCUUUGCUCAGUGGAUGAGACUGUAGUUUUUACUGGGAUUUUGCGAGGUGGAGAAAGGAAGAGCUACAUUCCAGGACUACAGGAGUCUGGGGCGAGGGCAGGGAAACCUCAGGGAGAGACGUGUGGGAUCUGGUGAGAGGACGGGGCCAUGAGACACCCAGCACAGCCAAGCCCAGUACCCAGGGAAGGCCCGAGUGGAGAUGAGUCAUGCCGGAAGCACUGAUUAAGCCUCCCCAGAGAGAGACUGACACACUUUGCUGUCUCAAGAAUGCCCAUGCUAUGGAUUCAAGGUGAGACGUCUGAAAACUAAGAACAUUAGGGCCAGACCGGCCUGGCUCUGCUGAGCGGCCUUUGGAAAGUUUCUUAACCUUUCUGUGCUUCCAUUCUUUUCCUGUGAAAUGGAGGUAAUAACGGGGCCUCCUGCACGGGAGUGUGGUGGAAAGAAAUGAGAUAAUAAAUAAAGGUCCUGGUGGUGUUGGGCAUGCAGCACCUUUAGGGUAUUUCAUUUCUCUCCCCUCUCUACCGCUAAAAAGAGCUCCACAAUCCCCCAGCUGCACCAGAAUCAAGACUAAAGUCAGUGAUGGUGCUAAGGAGAGGGAGGGGAAGGGAAGGGAAUGUCCAGCUAUCCCGUUUUGAAACACAUCUGAGACAGGGGGAGAGGUAUUUAUUUCCAUCUCCUUCCUGCAGUGUGGACCAGGUUAUGUAAGUCAGCUUCUCAGGGCGUCCCCCUAGGGCCUCCAGGAGGGUGGCUGGCAGUGACAUAAGUAAAUACUUCUGUGCUCUCUGCCCUGGGGUAAGGUUCUGAGCAAACACAGGGCCUGCAAGGGACGAGGCAGGGAGGAAGAGGAGGAGGCCAAGUCUGGAGCGAGGGUGGGGCCAGGCGGUGUCAGGAGGCCCUCCCUCCAGGCCUGGCUGGGUCCCAAAGGCCGUGAAAGUGGACAAGUCAGCACCUGGUUAGCCGUGAGUUUUCACGGUGGCGUUACCUGGGGGAGAGGUCCAGUCCAGCCGGGAGGUUGGGGGCUGCAGGCUGUGUCCCCAUGGACAGAGCGAAGGCCAUUCCAAUGCGGACACUGCCUGUCUCCUGCCAUCCUGACACCUACACUCUCUCCUCCUGGGCUCUGGGGACGACUGAGUUUUCCCUCAAGGUGCUGUCCCCUGUCUCAGAAUGUCCUCUGGUCCCUGUCCCAUGCACAGGUAGGUGGCAGAGCAGACAGAGAAGGGACUCUGGAAAUGGACUGGCUUAGUGACAGCACCCCAGCCUCAUGAGCUCUCCACGGCUGUUUCCUCCACGUUCAACUGGGCUUUGUGGCUCCUGGCUCAUCCUUUGUUGUGACCACCAGAGACAGCCAUUGUCAAUGACAAGGGCUGAUUACUUAGCCAUUCUGUGUCCACCAGGCGUGGACAAGGCUUUGGAGUCAUCAGGCUCGUGGCAACACAGGAAGCCUGAGCAGCGAGCCAGUGCCAGAGCCAGGUGGGCACCCCGAUGUCAGAUCUCUUUGCCUUCCACACCUGCUCAAAGCCUCCUGCCAUCUCAGAACAGUGGCAUCUUGUCUCCAGAUGCGCCAGUGCUUCCCAGCUGCAGCCCCCUGUCACUUCCAGAGAUGGCUCCCACCCCACUUCCUCUUCUGCCCAUCAGGACCUAGGUGGCCCCUGUGCCUGCAAAGACCACCAGAACAUGUCAGAGGUGAUGCUGGCAGUUCUAGGAAUUGUCCUUACAUGGCUGCCUCUGCUAUCUGCCCCUCAGAAGCCCUGCCCUGGGGGCUGUCCCUGUCAGAACCAGCUGCCAUGCUGUGAGAGUCCCCAGGCCCACGGCAAGGCCAUGGGUGGACGCUCUAGUUGACAGUCCCAGCUGAGCUCCCAAGGGACAGCCAGCAUCACUGGAAGCCAUGUGAGAGACCUUUUCAGACACCUAGAGCAGACAAGCCCUCAGACAUCUGACCGAAACCACGAGACCACCCGCCUGGCCCAGCUGACUUCAUGGGGCGUAAGAGUAAAUACCCCAUCUUGUUCUGACUGAUUUUACUAUAUUUUGUUUGAUAGUAUCAAGUUUGAGGGUAUAGGCAACCACUUUGAAGGCAAUAAGAUUUACUAUGAUGCCCAUUGUGGUUUGACUAUUAUCUUCUUUUGAAGUCCUGUAAGGUCUCGAAUGUAGGUUUUAUUGGUCUUGUUCUGUACUAUUUUUUUUUUUUUGUUCUGUACUGUUUUGUUCAAUUCUACUAUACCUGAAGAUAUAGACAACUACUCUUUUUAAGAUAGUAAGAGGGAGGCAUAAUGGUAACCAUUGUUGAUCACCUGGUAUUCUGUUUUUGCAUCAUGUACUAUGUCCAUCCUUCUGUUCUGACCCUGUUUUGCUUUGUCACAUUUUUUUUUUUCUCUUCAAAAAAAUGUUAUAAGAAUUGUGGGAGUUUUUAUUAUAAUUGAUGAUAUAGGCAAUUCUUUUUAAGAUAGCAAGAGGCAGUAUGGUAACCAUUGUUGAUCACCUAGUAUUUUGUUUUUACAUUAUCUAUUUUGUCCAUCCUUUUGAUUUGACUGACUCUGAUCUGUUAUGUCACAUUUGGUUUUACUCUCUUCAAAAAAAAGUAAUAAGAACUGUGGGAGUAAUAAAACCCAAUGUGUAAUUGUCAUUGUACAAAAGAAAGGAAAAGAAAGUGCUCUAAAGAAUUAUAACUGCAUAUAUAUUUAAGUGUAUAAGGUAGAUAACCGUAUUACUGAGUUUUGUUGGAUCAUUGAACAGAACUGUUUGCAGUCUCACUGUUUGAAAGUCCACUUUAUAUGCUUUAAUUUUGUAACGUGAACAACUAUUUCUAAGAUAACAAUAUGUAAUUUAUUAACUAGUGAUUUCCUAUUGUUUAUUUUUUCUGAAAUUCUGUAUAACUUGUACCCUUUUUCUGUUUUUUUUUCUUUUUCUCCUUAAAUACAAAAAGAAACCC